rnacentral:rRNA from 1 species
UUCGGGAUGCCGGCGAGUGGCGAACGGGUGAGUAAUACGUGGAAACCUAUCCCGAGGUGGGGGAUAACAGCUGGAAACGGCUGCUAAUACCGCAUAAGCCCUAAGGGGGAAAGAUUUAUCACCUUGGGAGGGGUCCACGUCGGAUUAGCUAGUUGGUAGGGUAAAGGCCUACCAAGGCGACGAUCCGUAGCUGGUCUGAGAGGAUGGACAGCCACACUGGGACUGAGACACGGCCCAGACUCCUACGGGAGGCAGCAGUGGGGAAUAUUGCGCAAUGGGGGAAACCCUGACGCAGCGAUGCCGCGUGGGUGAAGAAGGCCUUCGGGUUGUAAAGCCCUUUCAGUGGGGAAGAUAGUGACGGUACCCACAGAAGAAGCUCCGGCUAACUCCGUGCCAGCAGCCGCGGUAAUACGGAGGGGGCGAGCGUUGUUCGGAAUUACUGGGCGUAAAGGGCGCGUAGGCGGUGCAGCAAG